rnacentral:rRNA from 1 species
UACGUAGGGUGCGAGCGUUAAUCGGAAUUACUGGGCGUAAAGCGUGCGCAGGCGGUUUUGUAAGACAGGUGUGAAAUCCCCGGGCUUAACCUGGGAACUGCGCUUGUGACUGCAAGACUCGAGUACGGCAGAGGGGGGUAGAAUUCCACGUGUAGCAGUGAAAUGCGUAGAUAUCGUCUGGAACGCCAAAGGUGAAAACAGACUGCUGGGAGUGUGCUGACGCUGAGACACGAAAGCCAGGGGAGCAAACGGG